rnacentral:rRNA from 1 species
AAAGUACUUUCAGCAGUGAGGAAGGUGGGUAUGUUAAUAGCAUACUCAUUUGACGUUAGCUGCAGAAGAAGCACCGGCUAACUCCGUGCCAGCAGCCGCGGUAAUACGGAGGGUGCGUAGCGUUAAUCGGAAUUACUGGGCGUAAAGCGCAUGCAGGUGGUUUGUUAAGUCAGAUGUGAAAGCCCGGGGCUCAACCUCGGAAUUGCAUUUGAAACUGGCAAACUAGAGUACUGUAGAGGGGGUAGAAUUUCAGGUGUAGCGGUGAAAUGCGUAGAGAUCUGAAGGAAUACCGGUGGCGAAGGCGGCCCCCCUGGACAGAUACUGACACUCAGAUGCGAAAGCGUGGGGAGCAAACAGGAUUAGAUACCCUGGUAG